GUGGGGAAUUUUGGACAAUGGGCGCAAGCCUGAUCCAGCAAUGCCGCGUGCAGGAAGAAGGCCUUCGGGUUGUAAACUGCUUUUGUACGGAACGAAAAGGCUCUGGUUAAUACCUGGGGCUCAUGACGGUACCGUAAGAAUAAGCACCGGCUAACUACGUGCCAGCAGCCGCGGUAAUACGUAGGGUGCAAGCGUUAAUCGGAAUUACUGGGCGUAAAGCGUGCGCAGGCGGUUUUGUAAGACAGGCGUGAAAUCCCCGGGCUCAACCUGGGAAUGGCGCUUGUGACUGCAAGGCUGGAGUGCGGCAGAGGGGGAUGGAAUUCCGCGUGUAGCAGUGAAAUGCGUAGAUAUGCGGAGGAACACCGAUGGCGAAGGCAAUCCCCUGGGCCUGCACUGACGCUCAUGCACGAAAGCGUGGGGAGCAAACAGGAUUAGAUACCCCGGUAGUCC
rnacentral:rRNA from 1 species